CCUUUGGAGUGUACAAGAACUUGUGAGUAGUUGAAGUCUUAGGAUUUAACCAAAGCAUACACGAUGAAUAAGGAA
rnacentral:sRNA from 2 species